rnacentral:rRNA from 1 species
UACGGAGGGUGCGAGCGUUGUCCGGAAUCAUUGGGCGUAAAGGGCGCGUAGGUGGCCCGGUCAGUUCGUGGUGAAAGCGCGGGGCUCAACCCUGCGUCGGCCAUGAAUACUGCCGCGGCUGGAGCACUGUAGAGGCAGGCGGAAUUCCGGGGUGUAGCGGUGGAAUGCGUAGAGAUCCGGAAGAACACCGGUGGCGAAGGCGGCCUGCUGGGCAGUUGCUGACACUGAGGCGCGGACAGCGUGGGGAGCAAACAGG